GCGAUCAUACAACACUAAUGCACCGGAUCCCAUCAGAACUUCCGAGUUAGGCGUGUUUGGGCGAGAGUAGUUAACUAGGAUGGGUGACCCCCUGGGAAGUCUCGUGUUGCAACCACCU
rnacentral:rRNA from 11 species